rnacentral:rRNA from 1 species
UACAGAGGGGGCAAGCGUUAAUCGGAAUUACUGGGCGUAAAGCGUGCGUAGGCGGUUCGUUAAGUCUGUUGUGAAAGCCCCGGGCUCAACCUGGGAAUGGCAAUGGAUACUGGCGAGCUAGAGUGUGUCAGAGGAUGGUGGAAUUCCCGGUGUAGCGGUGAAAUGCGUAGAGAUCGGGAGGAACAUCAGUGGCGAAGGCGGCCAUCUGGGACAACACUGACGCUGAGGCACGAAAGCGUGGGGAGCAAACAGG